AGGAGAGUCAUAAAUUUUGCAUAUUCUGGUUUCACCUCGGCCUUUUCUCAGAUAGAGCCUGACAAAGAAAAACAAAGCAAUUUAUUCAAAUACUGUUGGCUUUCAGUAAGUCAACAUUACAUUUCUGGUAGCAUAAAGCUACAAUGUACUGAGGACCACCAAGGUUUUUAUUAUUGCUGUACCAUACUAUUUUAAUUUCACCACAUUAAUUGGAAAUAAAAGUCACCUUUCAGCGAUCAAAGAUGCCCUUAGGUUUUUGAAAAAAGAUCAGAAAAGCUAUUGACAGACAGACCCCAUACACAAAAAAAAGAAA